CCCCGAGAGUAGCGAGCCAGAAGGGGGAGAAGUCACGAAUCAGAAGGGAGAGAAGUCCCGGAUCGGCGUAUGCCCACGAACCCAGCACAGAAGUCUAGACGUACAGCCACCCUGUUAGGAGCAGCUCGCAGGCGGUCACGUUUAUAUAAAUUUGGUUGGACAAACACACACAAUCUACUGAACUAGCCGCACAAAUACCGUAGCGAGCUGAAAGCAAACAAAUCAGCUCGUUACAUCUGGCGCCCAAAGUGAUUGUCCCAGCGGUGAAAGCAAAAUGAAAGCAAAUGGGAAAGAAGUGGAUUUACCGCCUUCAGAAGGAGGACUUCGCCCAGGUCGCACAAAAACUUAAUGUCGCCCUAGACGGCAGAUUAGAGGACAUGAGGAGGACAUUGUCGGAGUAUUACUCCGAGACAGAGAACGACCCACAACUUUCCGACAUCUGGGCUGAGUUGGAAGCCAUGUAUUACGACAGAAUCAGCCCGAGUAUCACGCUAACUAACGCUGAAGGGGAUAACCUAGUAACAAGCUUGAGCUUCAACAACUUGCAAAGGGAGGCUCACAGGAGAGAGUCAAGCCAGGACAGGAAGACAACGGUGCUGACCUCUAAACACAGCCAAGCGGAUUAUGCAAGGGUCUCUAAACAAGUCCGAGAGUGGUCAUUCAGAGAGAGAGAGCUUUCAUCUUUACUUUCUGCCGAGAGAUUUCUUCACAAGGCUGUUGGAUCAGGUCAGGCAACGAAAGCAGGGUUUCAGUGAGUCCUUUAAAGACUACAUGAUCGACAUGCAGACGAUGUCGAGGCCUCUAAACUAUUCUGCGAGAGACACCUUAAAGAUCAUAAAGGAAAACUGGACCCCAAGCCUAAGGAACUUUUUAAGGGCGUACAAAGUGCCGGACCUGGACACGUUGAUGCUAUUAGCCGAUAAAUACGAAGAACUGGAAAAGGAGCGGAACGAGUUCGCCCAAGAAAACAAGUUCUCAAAGGCAAAGUCGUCACCACCAACGCAGGUCACGUGCAGAAGAUGCGAGGAGACAGAUAGCCAGGAGACACGGAGAAAUGACAAAUUUUCACCGCCGCAACGAGUCUGCUGAUACUACCAGGGGUAGUGGAUUCAUUGGUGUUAGGAUGGAACUUUCUAACUCAAGUCGGAACCGAGAUAAGGUGCGCUGGACACGAGGUGAUAAUACCGGCCAGGAACCGACACAAUGGGUGGCUCGAGGAGAGGCUAUCAGUAGCAGUCGUAGAACAGGAAACAGAGUACGACGACACAGCGAAGUUCAUGGAGGCAGAGCUAGCCAGUUUCAAAACCAUGACAGGAACGUCGAACAUGGCAGAGCAUCAAAUAACGAUGAAGGACGACAAACCAAUAAAACAGCGAUACUACCUACUACUAGCGACGUAAUAGGCACGGAUCCGCCGUUAACAGUUAGAGAGCUCCGACAGUACCUGGGAGUAGCAUCAUGGUAUCGGCGAUUUGUACCUGACUUCGCAAAAAUAGUCAAACCUCUCAACGAUCUGCUGCGCAAGGGCAACAAGUGGGUGUGGACACUGCAACAUCAGUCGGCAUUCGAAGAGGUAAAGGCCAGGCUGGUGGCAGACCCCUACUGGCGUGCCCGGAUUUUGAAAAACCAUUUGUCCUGCAAACGGACGCAAGUGAUUACGGUAUUGGGGCCAUUUGACCCAGGAAACUGAACGUGGCGAAAAGGUGAUCUCUUACUCAAGCCGAACGCUUAACGGGGCUGGAAAAAUCUACUCCACGACCGAGAAGGAGUGUUUGGCAAUAGUCUGGGCGAUCCGGAAACUGAAGCCAUAUUUGGAAGGGUACCACUUCAAGGUGGUAACUGAACCACAUGGCACUGAAGUGGCUCAACAGCAUCUCGAGCCCUUCAGGAAGGAUCGCCAGAUGGGCCCUGGAGUUGCAGCAGUAUGACUUCGAAAUAGCGUACAGGAAGGGACAACUCAAUGUGGUGGCAGACGCAUUAUCAAGGAAACCACUACCAGUAACACUGCGGGGGAUCAAGGAGACAUCGGCGGCGGAAGCCUCCGCAGCAAUCAGCUGGAUUCAGGACAUGCGCGGAAAGAUUAGAACCCAGCCACAAAAGUACCCGGACCACGUAAAGGAGGGAGACACCUUCUACAGGAACAUUCCACACAGAGCAGGCAGUAAGGAUGUCGCGACGUGGAAGAUGUGCGUCCCGAAAGCUCUACGAGAAGCGGUGCUGAAAGAGAACCACGACUCACCGACAGCUAGCCAUGUAGGAAGCAGAAGGACAAUAGCACGUCUGGCAACCCGGUACUACUGGCCAGGCAUGCAUCGAGACGCACGAGCCCACGUAAGAGGGUUCGAGAAAAGUAUCAGAUUCAAGCCGAAUCAGAUGCAGGCAGCUGGGAAAAUACUAACGCAGGUGCCAGAGGAACCGUAGGUUACAGUAUGCGCAGACUUCGUCGGACCCCUGCCGCGUUCAAAACACGGCAACCAAAUGCUGCUGGUGCUGAUAGACAAGUUCUCCAAGUGGACUGAAUUGGUGCCGCUGCGGAGCGCGACGGCCGAGUCCCUAAAGAAAGCGUUCAGAGAGCGCAUCAUCGCAAGGUUUGGGGUCCCGAAGAUAGUCAUAAAGGACAACGGAGUACAGUUCAACAGCAAAAUCUUCAAGAGUUUUCUGGCCGAGAUGGGAGCCAAGCAACAGUUCACGGCUCCAUAUACCCCGCAAGAGAUCCCGACAGAAAGAGCAAACAGGACCGUGAAGACGAUGAUAGCGCAUUUCACAGGGCAGGAUCAGAGAAACUGGGACGAGAUCAUGCUGAGAUCAUGCUGGCAGUAAAUACGAGUGUUUCGGAAUCCACAGGAUACACGCCGGCGUUUAUUACUACCGAGCGCCCUAUACGACAGAGAGACCUUGGGAACAGGACGACCCACUGAUACCCCAGGGGGGAAGGCAAACAAACUCGGGGAAAUCUUCGAGAUUGUAAGGCAGAAUCUGAAGAGAGCCUCCCAGGAUCAGGCUAGGCAUUACAACCUAAGGAGGAGACAAUGGACACCAGCGGUGGGGGACGUCGUGUGGGCCAAGGAACAUCAUUUGUCAAAGGCGGCCGAGCGGUUCGCAGCAAAGUUGGCCCCAAGAUACGACGGACCUUACCAGGUCACGGAUUUUGCGUCACCAGUAAUCUGCCAAAUACGGUACGUGAACACAAAAAAGAGAGAACCAUCCACGUAAGCAAGCUGAAAUAAGAACAAACACAGAACACAUACGGCCAGCCACAAGCAGAUAUGUUAGACAAAAGGCAACAAUAAAGUGUCAAAGAGUCUCAAAGGAUACUACGAAAGGGUCCAAGGAUAGCUCCAAGGAUACCCGAAGGACACGGGGAAUAGGGUCCAAGGAUAGCUCCAAGGAUACCCAAAGGACACGAGGAGAAGGGUGCGAGGAUAGCUCCAAGGAUACCCAAAGGACACGAUGAAAAGGGUCUAAGGAUAGCUCCAAGGAUACCCAAAGGACACGAGGAAAAGGGUCCAAGGAUAGCUCCAAGGAUACCCAAAGGACACGAGGAAAAGGGUCCAAGGUUAGCUCCAAGGAUACCCAAAUGACACGAGGAAAAGGGUCCGAGGAUAGCUCCAAGGAUACCCGAAGGAAGCGAGGAAAAGGGUCCAAGGAUAGCUCCAAGGAUGGCCAAAGGAUACAAGGAAAUUAGCCCGAGGAUAAUUUCAAGGAUGCUCAGGAAUACAAGGAAGGAACCCAAGGAUAGCUCCAAGGACUCUCAAAGAACACAGAUAAAAGGGUCAAGGGAUAACUCCAAGGAGACUCUAGGAUACGAAGGAGGGAAUACAAGGAUAUCUCAAGAGAAAGCAAAAAAAAAAAAACA